UACGGGAGGCAGCAGUGGGGAAUCUUAGACAAUGGGCGCAAGCCUGAUCUAGCCAUGCCGCGUGAGUGAUGAAGGCCUUAGGGUCGUAAAGCUCUUUCGCCAGGGAUGAUAAUGACAGUACCUGGUAAAGAAACCCCGGCUAACUCCGUGCCAGCAGCCGCGGUAAUACGGAGGGGGUUAGCGUUGUUCGGAAUUACUGGGCGUAAAGCGUACGUAGGCGGAUUAGAAAGUUAGGGGUGAAAUCCCGGGGCUCAACCCCGGAACUGCCUCUAAAACUACUAGUCUAGAGUUCGAGAGAGGUGAGUGGAACUCCGAGUGUAGAGGUGAAAUUCGUAGAUAUUCGGAAGAACACCAGUGGCGAAGGCGGCUCACUGGCUCGAUACUGACGCUGAGGUACGAAAGUGUGGGGAGCAAACAGGAUUAGAUACCCUGGUAGUCCACACCGUAAACGAUGAAUGCCAGUCGUCGGGUAGUAUACUAUUCGGUGACACACCUAACGGAUUAAGCAUUCCGCCUGGGGAGUACGGUCGCAAGAUUAAAACUCAAAGGAAUUGACAUCU
rnacentral:rRNA from 1 species